rnacentral:snRNA from 1 species
GGAUGUGAGGGUGAUCUGGCUGUGACAUCUGUCACCCCAUUUAUUGCCAGGGUUGAUUUCGCUGAUCUGGCUGACUAGGCAGGUGUCCCAUUCCUCCCUCACUGCUCCACGUGUGUCCCUCCUGAAGCUGCAUGAUUGGUUGAAGAGGAUGACCUUCCCCAACAGAGGAGGACCAUUCUUCUGUCAGGGUAUAUGAGUUGCUACACUCUCCUGCUAGAACCUCCAAACAAGCUCUCAAAAUAUUAUGGAAGUACAAAUGUUUUUGGUUACAUGGAUUGCUUUUGUAAUGCUUUAGUCAGGGUUAUAAG